GACGAACGCUGGCGGCGUGCUUAACACAUGCAAGUCGAACGGAAAGGCCCUGCUUUUGUGGGGUGCUCGAGUGGCGAACGGGUGAGUAACACGUGAGUAACCUGCCCUUGACUUUGGGAUAACUUCAGGAAACUGGGGCUAAUACCGGAUAGGAGCUCCUGCUGCAUGGCGGGGGUUGGAAAGUUUCGGCGGUUGGGGAUGGACUCGCGGCUUAUCAGCUUGUUGGUGGGGUAGUGGCUUACCAAGGCUUUGACGGGUAGCCGGCCUGAGAGGGUGACCGGCCACAUUGGGACUGAGAUACGGCCCAGACUCCUACGGGAGGCAGCAGUGGGGAAUGUUGCACAAUGGGCGGAAGCCUGAUGCAGCAACGCCGCGUGCGGGAUGACGGCCUUCGGGUUGUAAACCGCUUUCGCCUGUGACGAAGCGUGAGUGACGGUAAUGGGUAAAGAAGCACCGGCUAACUACGUGCCAGCAGCCGCGGUGAUACGUAGGGUGCGAGCGUUGUCCGGAUUUAUUGGGCGUAAAGGGCUCGUAGGUGGUUGAUCGCGUCGGAAGUGUAAUCUUGGGGCUUAACCCUGAGCGUGCUUUCGAUACGGGUUGACUUGAGGAAGGUAGGGGAGAAUGGAAUUCCUGGUGGAGCGGUGGAAUGCGCAGAUAUCAGGAGGAACACCAGUGGCGAAGGCGGUUCUCUGGGCCUUUCCUGACGCUGAGGAGCGAAAGCGUGGGGAGCGAACAGGCUUAGAUACCCUGGUAGUCCACGCUGUAAACGGUGGGUACUAGGUGUGGGGUCCAUUCCACGGGUUCCGUGCCGUAGCUAACGCUUUAAGUACCCCGCCUGGGGAGUACGGCCGCAAGGCUAAAACUCAAAGGAAUUGACGGGGCCCCGCACAAGCGGCGGAGCAUGCGGAUUAAUUCGAUGCAACGCGUAGAACCUUACCUGGGUUUGACAUGGAUCGGGAGUGCUCAGAGAUGGGUGUGCCUCUUUUGGGGUCGGUUCACAGGUGGUGCAUGGCUGUCGUCAGCUCGUGUCGUGAGAUGUUGGGUUAAGUCCCGCAACGAGCGCAACCCUUGUUCACUGUUGCCAGCACGUUAUGGUGGGGACUCAGUGGAGACCGCCGGGGUCAACUCGGAGGAAGGUGGGGAUGACGUCAAGUCAUCAUGCCCCUUAUGUCCAGGGCUUCACGCAUGCUACAAUGGCUGGUACAGAGAGUGGCGAGCCUGUGAGGGUGAGCGAAUCUCGGAAAGUCGGUCUCAGUUCGGAUUGGGGUCUGCAACUCGACCUCAUGAAGUCGGAGUCGCUAGUAAUCGCAGAUCAGCAACGCUGCGGUGAAUACGUUCCCGGG
rnacentral:rRNA from 1 species